ACUACAAGAAAACACUCGUAUUGCUAGGGAAGAAUGUCUAGCGUAUCCCUCGCAAUACGUCUUUCGCAAGGGAAUUGCGAGAAUCUUCAUUCCCUCGCGAAUCGCGACUCGCAAAUUUAUGCCCUCGCAAUUUUCUCGCACUAUUGCGAGGGAUUCGUUCGCUCGCAAUAUCCCUAGCAAAUUGCGAGGAACAAAUGACUAGCAGGU
rnacentral:lncRNA from 1 species